rnacentral:rRNA from 1 species
GGCUCAGGAUGAACGCUAGCGGCAGGCUUAAUACAUGCAAGUCGUGGGGCAGCGCAGGUAGCAAUACUGGGCGGCGACCGGCAAACGGGUGCGGAACACGUACACAACCUUCCGAGAAGUGGGGAAUAGCCCAGAGAAAUUUGGAUUAAUACCCCGUAACAUAACGAUGUGGCAUCACAUUGUUAUUAUAGCUUCGGCGCUUCUUGAUGGGUGUGCGGCUGAUUAGAUAGUUGGCGGGGUAACGGCCCACCAAGUCUACGAUCAGUAGCUGAUGUGAGAGCAUGAUCAGCCACACGGGCACUGAGACACGGGCCCGACUCCUACGGGAGGCAGCAGUAAGGAAUAUUGGUCAAUGGACGCAAGUCUGAACCAGCCAUGCCGCGUGAAGGAUUAAGGUCCUCUGGAUUGUAAACUUCUUUUAUCUGGGACGAAAAAAGGCGAUUCUUCGUCACUUGACGGUACCAGAUGAAUAAGCACCGGCUAACUCCGUG